ACUCACACUGAAAACUGCAUCAGGAUGAUGUUUCCAGUGACUCUGAUUGUCAUGUUGGGUUUUCUGACUCAGGAGUCUUCUGCCAACAACUUUCUGACUCAGACUGACAAAUCCAAGUCUGUUAGUCUCGGAGGGACUGUGACCAUCAGCGCCACAGGGAGUUCAAAUAUUGGUUCGCGUCUCAGUUGGUACCUUCAGAAACCUGGACAGGCUCCCAAACUUCUUAUAUAUUCUGCAUCAACUCUAAACUCAGGAACCCCGUCUCGAUUCAGUGGCAGCAGAUCUGGUUCUCAGUACACUUUAACCAUCAGUGGUGUUCAGGAUGAAGAUGUUGGAGAUUAUUACUGUCUAGGUGUUCAUAGUGCUGAUGCGUUCACACAGUGAUUUGUAGCCGUACAAAAACCUCCCUCAGUGUGACUGAAG